GCUCUCAAUGCAACGUGACUUUGCAGUGACGGAUGAGGACGGCCCGACACAGCGGCAUGAAGCACACCUGCGACUCUGUCCCUGACAGACGUCAUGACUCCUCAGGUGAUUUAGAGUCACCUGCCAGAGCAACUCCACAGGGUCUCCUGCCCACUUUGCAGAUGGGGAAGCGAGCCGGGAGAGGUCAAGUGAGUCACCUGCCGUCACCCAGGUCACUACGGACCCUGAAGUCCAGGCUACAGCCUCCCAUGCAAAUGCUUUUCAAGAAGGCAGGGGUGCCUCCCACUCCAGGACACCCCAAGAAUGCAGGCAAGCCCUCAGUUUACUGGAACCAGCCCCGUGCUCUUCCUUUAGGAGGAAACCAUGAUUUAAUUGAAUUCUUUCUCCUUUCUCUCUUUCAGUCAGUAUUGCUAUUUAAGCACAGUCCAGGCUCAAGGUGCUGUGCUGGGGGCAGCCCGUGAUCCACGAGAAACACCGGUCUUGCCUCAGGCCGGCNGGGGGGGGGGGGGGGGGGGGGGGGGGGGGGGGAGGCGGGGAUGAGCCCAUGUGGCUGCAUGUUAACCAAGAAUGCGAGGGAAAUGCCCAGUGGUUCAGACCAGGAAGAUAGUUUGCAAAAUUUUCACAAGAAAAUGCCCCCAGGGGAGAUUUAGUUAGAAAAGCAGCUCCCAGGGAGAUCCCUGGGGUCUCCUCAUUUCCCAGCCCUGACAACCCCCGCCUGCAACCCUGACUUCGCUGACGAGCCCGUAGCUGAAAAAGCGCAGAAUCAACAAAAUUAGAUGAUGUUGACAUCCCUGUGUCGGGCUUUCUCCUAGACCCGCGCUCUGCUGGCAGGAUGGGGGUGCUGUCCUGCCCAGGGCCCCCAGGGGCACCUGACUGUCACCAAGAAUCAAGGUGGGUGUGCAUGUGUGACGAAUGCACGCCUUCUUCUUUCUAAGGUUUUUCCAUUGCAGAGGUUGACCUCAAAAGGAGUAUCUCCUGGAGUCCCUGUUGUGACACAGUGGAAACGAAUCUCACUAGUAUCCAUGAGGAUGUGGGUUCGAUCCCUGACUGCACUCAGUGGGUUAAGGAUCCAGCAUUGCAGUGAGCUGUGGUGUAGGCCAGCAGCUGCAGCUCCAAUUCGACCCCUAGCCUGGGAACUUCCAUAUGCCACAGGUACGGCCCUAAAAAGCAGGGGGGAAAAAGAGUAUCUCCUUAAACUUUUGUUGUUCUUAUAGUAAGCUUUUGCUGAAAUCUGUUUCCUGUAUGUUAUGUAUACAUAUAACAGAAAAGGAUGCAAAUCAUAAACCCAGUCAAUUUUCAUUAAAUUGUCGGGAAGGAAGAAAAGCUUACACUUCUAGGUUCUGCUGGCUGGUCUAAGAAUUAAAUUUACAUGAGGAUUAACAGGAGAAAAUCGCAUUAAAAAAAUUUUUUUCCAUCUUUUCAGGGCUA
rnacentral:lncRNA from 1 species